rnacentral:rRNA from 1 species
GACGAACGCUGGCGGCGUGCUUAACACAUGCAAGUCGAACGGAAAGGCCCUGCUUUUGUGGGGUGCUCGAGUGGCGAACGGGUGAGUAACACGUGAGUAACCUGCCCUUGACUUUGGGAUAUCUUCAGGAAACUGGGGCUAAUACCGGAUAGGAGCUCCUGCUGCAUGGUGGGGGUUGGAAAGUUUCGGCGGUUGGGGAUGGACUCGCGGCUUAUCAGCUUGUUGGUGGGGUAGUGGCUUACCAAGGCUUUGACGGGUAGCCGGCCUGAGAGGGUGACCGGCCACAUUGGGACUGAGAUACGGCCCAGACUCCUACGGGAGGCAGCAGUGGGGAUUAUUGCACAAUGGGCGGAAGCCUGAUGCAGCAACGCCGCGUGCGGGAUGACGGCCUUCGGGUUGUAAACCGCUUUCGCCUGUGACGAAGCGUGAGUGACGGUAAUGGGUAAAGAAGCACCGGCUAACUACGUG